rnacentral:rRNA from 1 species
GAUGAACGCUGGCGGCGUGCCUAAUACAUGCAAGUCGAGCGAACAGACGAGGAGCUUGCUCCUCUGACGUUAGCGGCGGACGGGUGAGUAACACGUGGAUAACCUACCUAUAAGACUGGGAUAACUUCGGGAAACCGGAGCUAAUACCGGAUAAUAUAUUGAACCGCAUGGUUCAAUAGUGAAAGACGGUUUUGCUGUCACUUAUAGAUGGAUCCGCGCCGCAUUAGCUAGUUGGUAAGGUAACGGCUUACCAAGGCAACGAUGCGUAGCCGACCUGAGAGGGUGAGAGGGGACACAGGGAAAGAGAGACGGGGCAGACACUGCUAGGGGGGGGAAGAAUGGGAAAUUAUGCGAUGGGCGAGAGAGCCAGGCAGAAAAGCGCCGCGAGUGAUGAAGGUCUUCGGAUCGUAAAACUCUGUUAUUAGGGAAGAACAAAUGUGUAAGUAACUAUGCACGUCUCGACGGUACCUAAUCAGAAAGCCACGGCUAACUACGUG